rnacentral:lncRNA from 1 species
GGAGAUGAUCCCCUUGUCGCCUUGGCGCUAGAGGGGGAGGCUUGCUAAUUUAACCACAGAUGUGUGUGUGUGUGUUUGGGUGUGUGUGGGGGGGGGUGUGGGGGUGUGCCAGUCACUGAGAAGAUGUGUGUGUGUCAUGAUCAUGCAAAAUAACUCCAGCUUCACAGUUGCAAAGGAAAUGAGAAGGUUCACACAACAGAGACACGACCAUCAUCAGAGGUCACAUGGCUUGAGCAACUCUAUUUUCCAUGAAUGAACAGAACUGUGUUGUGCUAAAUUGGAAUGUGAGAGGAUUGAAUGCGAAAGCAAGAAGGAAGGUAGUUAAAGACCUUGUCAAGGAUACCAACACACAAUCAUUUGCCUCCAGGAGACUAAGCUUGAAGAAAUCACUGAACUACUAGUGACUGA